rnacentral:rRNA from 1 species
CGAACGGGUGAGUAACGCGUGAGGAACCUGCCGUCUACUCUUGGACAGCCUUCUGAAAGGAAGAUUAAUACAAGAUGGCAUCAUGAGUCCGCAUGUUCACAUGAUUAAAGGUAUUCCGGUAGACGAUGGGGAUGCGUUCCAUUAGAUAGUAGGCGGGGUAACGGCCCACCUAGUCUUCGAUGGAUAGGGGUUCUGAGAGGAAGGUCCCCCACAUUGGAACUGAGACACGGUCCAA